GAGUGAACACAGCUCUUUUAAGAAUUUUCUAGCAGCCUUUCUGGCUUUGGUUGGAAAAUCCAA
rnacentral:snRNA from 14 species